AAUUAUAAGAGGGUAGAACAGGCAACUGCCGCGCCACUUUGUGGUCUGAUAAAGAGAUGUAGGGUACGCCGUCCUACCUAUAAUU
rnacentral:ncRNA from 1 species